rnacentral:rRNA from 1 species
GACAGAGGGUGCAAACGUUGUUCGGAAUUACUGGGCGUAAAGCGCGUGUAGGCGGCUCUGCAAGUCGGGUGUGAAAGCCCUGGGCUCAACCCAGGAAGUGCAUUCGAAACUGGCGGGCUUGAAUAUGGAAGAGGGUCGCGGAAUUCCCGGUGUAGAGGUGAAAUUCGUAGAUAUCGGGAGGAACACCAGUGGCGAAGGCGGCGACCUGGGCCAAUAUUGACGCUGAGGUGCGAAAGCGUGGGGAGCAAACAGG